GCGUACCGAAUACUGUCGUCAGUGUGGUGGAAGCACUGAAACAAAAGAUCCAACGACGAUUGCCAGACGAAUGGGUGGCGAGAGAUUGACGGUCGACGACGGUCCGGCGUCCGGUUGAUGGCCGCGGAACGCGAUGCGGUCACCGGAUUCGAAACCAACGGCUGCGGCGGCGGCGGCCCACGGUUACCACCGAUCGGCGCGGCCGUACGGUGGACCGCGGCGGCCGCGGCGGUCACCGCGCAGCCAGACGGCCAGAAGGAGAUUGGAUUCGCGGGCACCAAGCAACCACCACCGUCCGCGCCGGCGCAGGUGCAGGAGCUGUACCGGAGGCUGCACAGCCGGUCCCUGUCGUCGCUGCCGCCCGAGCCGUUCAUGAUCAUGCGGUCCAAGGCGCUCAACCGCAGGGUGUGUAUAAACGUAGGUGGCGUCAAGCACGAGAUAUUGUGGCGCACGCUGGAACGGUUGCCGCACACCCGGUUAGGCCGGCUGAGGGACUGCAACACGCACGAGGCGAUCGCGGAACUGUGCGACGAUUACUCGCUGGCCGACAACGAGUACUUCUUCGACCGGCACCCAAAAUCUUUCAGCUCGGUACUAAACUUCUAUAGGACGGGAAAACUGCAUCUGGUCGACGAGAUGUGCGUGCUGGCGUUCAGCGACGACCUGGAGUACUGGGGCGUGGACGAGCUGUACCUAGAGUCUUGUUGCCAGCACAAGUACCACCAGCGCAAAGAGCACGUGCACGAGGAGAUGCGCAAAGAGGCGGAGUCGUUACGGCAGCGUGACGAGGAGGAGUUCGGUGAGGGAAAGUGCGCGCACUAUCAAAAGAUCCUGUGGGAUCUUCUCGAAAAACCGACCACGAGCAUCGCGGCAAGGGUGAUAGCCGUGAUCUCGAUACUGUUCAUCAUUAUGUCGACUGUGGCGCUGACGCUGAACACGAUACCGGCGAUGCAGGUGAAAGACGAGUCGAAGGGCGUGUUCCAGGACAACCCGCUGUUCGCCAUGGUGGAGCUGGUGUGCAUCACGUGGUUCACGCUCGAGUACCUGCUGCGGUUCAGCGCGUCACCCAACAAGUGGAAGUUCUUCAAGGGCGGCCUAAACGUGAUCGACCUGCUGGCCAUACUGCCGUACUACGUGUCGCUGAUAUUGGUGGCCGAGACCGACAAGACGGACACGCACCAGUUCGACGACGUGCGCCGCGUCAUACAGAUAUUCCGGAUCAUGCGCAUACUGCGCAUCCUCAAGCUGGCCCGACACUCCACCGGGCUCCAGAGCCUCGGGUUCACGUUGCGCAAUUCGUACAAGGAGCUAGGCCUGCUCAUGCUAUUCCUGGCCAUGGGCGUGCUAAUAUUCUCCAGCCUGGCGUACUUCGCCGAGAAGGAGGAGCCCGGCACCAAGUUCUUGUCCAUACCGGAGACGUUCUGGUGGGCCGGCAUCACCAUGACCACGGUGGGCUACGGCGACAUAUACCCGACCACCGCGCUCGGCAAGGUCAUCGGCGGCGUCUGUUGUGUCUGUGGCGUGCUGGUCGUUGCGCUGCCCAUUCCGAUUAUCGUUAACAAUUUUGCCGAGUUCUAUAAAAACCAAAUGCGACGCGAGAAGGCGUUGAAACGACGCGAGGCGCUGGAGCGCGCCAAACGCGAGGGCAGCAUUGUGUCCUUCCACCACGUCAACCUGCGGGACGCGUUUGCCAAGAGCAUGGACCUGAUCGACGUGAUCGUCGACAACGAGAGCGACAUCCCGAAGCUGUCCAAACAGAACUCGCUACGAUCGCACGUGGGCAGCAAUUAUUCGCAGUACGACGGGACGAGCAGCGGCAGCGAGACGGCACCGUUGAACCCGGCGCCGGCGCGCGGUGCCGCACCGCCGAAACCGGAACACCAGACGCUGUUGGACAUCGAUAACCCGGAGCAGAACGCCAACUCGUUCGGGAAGCCGUUCGAGAGCUCGGAGAAAAUGACCAUGAGUUGUUUUAACGAAAAAUUAGACGAAAAUUUCAAUGAGUUUGAAUGUUGCUCUUGUAGACAAAAGGAAGUGAAGGAGUACCUGGACGCGGAACACCUGACCCCGUAUCCGACCAGUGAGCCGCAGCGAACGCCGCUGAACGUGGAGAUGCGUACGCUUAAGUCAGAGGCGGACGGCGCGUCGUCGGGCGGCGGCGGCGGUGGUGGCCAGUGGCGAUCGCGCAACGAGGUGGGCAGCGUGGACAGCUCGGACACGUAUAUCAGCUGCAAGUCGCAGCCGUUCCACUCGCAGGGCGACCUGACCGCCGACGACAUGCACGACGCGGUGUUCGAGCACGUCGGACAUCAUCAGCCGACCGGCAACGGGGGCCCGGGCAAUGACUCGAACUUGUACGUGAACCCGCUGGAGACCACCAACGGCGGCAAGGGCGGGCCGCCCAGGAGCUUGGGAACGUCGCCGAUGGACGAGUGCAAGGAGUUCGGCGGUGGCCGGACGUCGGGAAGCCGGGGCAGCCUGAACGAGACGGCGAAACAGCGGAAGACGAGGUUCUCGCAGCAAUCAAACAUAGGGGAGAACUUAUUUGGUCGAGCGUCUCAAGAAAGUUUAGAUGGUGCACGGAAACGACGACCUUCGUUUGGGUUGUCGUCCAAAACAUUGACAAAUGCUACAAGAAUAAUCAAUCAACAUUUGUUUGGGUUACCAUUAAUAUCAAAUAAAACAGCUUAAAGCAUAUGUAAUGUGAUAACAGCCAUAAAAUAUAUUGGCGUAGAAACUUGAUAUGUUUGGACAUAACGUUAAAGACCGAAGGGGAUGCUGAAUUUGGGGGAAAAGCAGUAAGUCCACACCGUCGGCGUCGGUCGAGUCGAUUGACCGUUCGCCGGAAACACACCGAAGGUCCAAGUCCAUUCUGAA
rnacentral:misc_RNA from 1 species